UAUAGAAUUCCUCUUCACCCAGCCCUUUUGCUGGGCGAUGAGCCGCUUAUUUUGACACUGAGAUGUACGAAUAUGCGUUACGUAUUGUAGAGUACCAAACAAGGGACGUGCCAGAGUCGAGGGUUGUUUCUGCCUUACAACUGAUGAAUAAUGUCCGACCC